rnacentral:rRNA from 1 species
CGAAGGAUCCAAGCGUUAUCCGGAUUUAUUGGGUUUAAAGGGUGCGUAGGCGGCUUAUUAAGUCAGUGGUGAAAGCCUGCAGCUUAACUGCAGAACUGCCAUUGAUACUGAUGAGCUUGAGUAUAGUUGAGGUGGGCGGAAUGUGUCAUGUAGCGGUGAAAUGCUUGGAUAUGACACAGAACACCGAUUGCGAAGGCAGCUCGCUAAACUAUAACUGACGCUGAGGCACGAAAGCGUGGGGAGCGAACAGGAUUAGAUACCCUGGUAGUCCACGCCCUAAACGUUGAUAACUCGAUGUGUGCGAUAUACAGUACGCGUCUAAGCGAAAGCAUUAAGUUAUCCACCUGGGAAGUACGGUCGCAAGAUUG